rnacentral:rRNA from 1 species
AGAGUUUGAUCCUGGCUCAGGAUGAACGCUGGCGGCGUGCCUAACACAUGCAAGUCGAACGGACUUACAUUGAAGCCUAGCGAUAUGUAAGUUAGUGGCGGACGGGUGAGUAACGCGUGGGUAACCUGCCUUGUACUGGGGGACAACAGUUGGAAACGACUGCUAAUACCGCAUAAGCGCACAGCUUCGCAUGAAGCAGUGUGAAAAACUCCGGUGGUACAAGAUGGACCCGCGUCUGAUUAGCUGGUUGGUGAGGUAACGGCCCACCAAGGCGACGAUCAGUAGCCGGCCUGAGAGGGUGAACGGCCACAUUGGGACUGAGACACGGCCCAAACUCCUACGGGAGGCAGCAGUGGGGAAUAUUGCACAAUGGGGGAAACCCUGAUGCAGCAACGCCGCGUGAGUGAUGACGGCCUUCGGGUUGUAAAGCUCUGUCUUCAGGGACGAUAAUGACGGUACCUGAGGAGGAAGCCACGGCUAACUACGUGCCAGCAGCCGCGGUAAUACGUAGGUGGCGAGCGUUAUCCGGAAUUAUUGGGCGUAAAGAGGGAGCAGGCGGCACUAAGGGUCUGUGGUGAAAGAUCGAAGCUUAACUUCGGUAAGCCAUGGAAACCGUAGAGCUAGAGUGUGUGAGAGGAUCGUGGAAUUCCAUGUGUAGCGGUGAAAUGCGUAGAUAUAUGGAGGAACACCAGUGGCGAAGGCGACGAUCUGGCGCAUAACUGACGCUCAGUCCCGAAAGCGUGGGGAGCAAAUAGGAUUAGAUACCCUAGUAGUCCACGCCGUAAACGAUGAGUACUAAGUGUUGGGAGUCAAAUCUCAGUGCUGCAGUUAACGCAAUAAGUACUCCGCCUGAGUAGUACGUUCGCAAGAAUGAAACUCAAAGGAAUUGACGGGGGCCCGCACAAGCGGUGGAGCAUGUGGUUUAAUUCGAAGCAACGCGAAGAACCUUA